UGCCAAUGGCCGGGGCCCAGCCAGGCGUCCACGCUCUCCAGCUCCAGCCCGUCCGCGUCUCGGCCAACCUCAAGAAGGGCACCACCUUUGUCAAGUGGGACGAUGACUCUACAAGUGUGACAUCAAUUUUCCUCCGAACAGACCCACAAGGGUUUUUCUUGCAUUGGACUGACCAAAAUAAGGUACAGGAGUCAGAGCUGUUAGAUCUCACUGUUGUCAAAGAUGCCAGAUGUGGGAA